GGUUCAUGAUGACACUGGACCUUGUCUGACUACAAUGACUUCAAAUUUGAGCUUAAAGGGAUAUUCUGAAAAC